AACGAACGCUGGCGGCAUGCCUAACACAUGCAAGUCGAACGAGAUCUUCGGGUCUAGUGGCGCACGGGUGCGUAACGCGUGGGAAUCUGCCCUCAGGUUCGGAAUAACCAUUGGAAACGAUGGCUAAUACCGGAUGAUGACGUUAAGUCCAAAGAUUUAUCGCCUGAGGAUGAGCCCGCGUAGGAUUAGCUAGUUGGUGUGGUAAAGGCGCACCAAGGCGACGAUCCUUAGCUGGUCUGAGAGGAUGAUCAGCCACACUGGGACUGAGACACGGCCCAGACUCCUACGGGAAGCAGCAGUGGGGAAUAUUGGACAAUGGGCGAAAGCCUGAUCCAGCAAUGCCGCGUGAGUGAUGAAGGCCUUAGGGUUGUAAAGCUCUUUUACCCGGGAUGAUAAUGACAGUACCGGGAGAAUAAGCUCCGGCUAACUCCGUG
rnacentral:rRNA from 1 species